UUAAGUUCAGCGGUAGUCCUACCUGAUUUGAGAUCGAACGUUCAAAAAGCUGUCCUCGCCGAGGAGAGACAUCUGUGAGCUCCAGCAAACCUUUGUCACCAAAGGUUACCUGGCAGACAACCAUGAGCGUAGAUAUUUAUCACACCCGUGAUGCCACCAAACACUGGGAGGCUGAUUCAUUUGAGGGGAGCCGACCGCAG
rnacentral:misc_RNA from 1 species